AUUGAACGCUGGCGGCAGGCCUAACACAUGCAAGUCGAACGAGUGGCGGACGGGUGAGUAAUGUCUGGGAAACUGCCUGAUGGAGGGGGAUAACUACUGGAAACGGUAGCUAAUACAGCAUACAACCAGAUGUGCCCAAAUGGGAUUAGCUUGUUGGUAGGGUAACGGCUCACCAAGGAGACGAUCACUAGCUGGUCUGCGAGGAUGACCAGCCACCCGGGCACUGAGACACGGUCCAGACUCCGACGGGAGGCAGCAGUGGGGAAUAUUGCACAAUGGGCGCAAGCCUGAUGCAGCCAUGCCGCGUGUAUGAAGAAGGCCUUCGGGUUGUAAAGUACUUUCAGCGGGGAGGCGUUACCCGCAGAAGAAGCACCGGCUAACUCCGUGCCAGCAGCCGCGGUAAUUC
rnacentral:rRNA from 1 species